GGGGCUAAUACCGGAUAACAUUUUGAACCGCAUGGUUCGAAAUUGAAAGGGGGCUUCGGCUGUCCGUUAUGGAUGGACCCGCGUCGCAUUAGCUAGUUGGUGAGGUAACGGCUCACCAAGGCAACGAUGCGUAGCCGACCUGAGAGGGUGAUCGGCCACACUGGGACUGAGACACGGCCCAGACUCCUACGGGAGGCAGCAGUAGGGAAUCUUCCGCAAUGGACGAAAGUCUGACGGAGCAACGCCGCGUGAGUGAUGAAGGCUUUCGGGUCGUAAAACUCUGUUGUUAGGGAAGAACAAGUGCUAGUUGAAUAAGCUGGCACCUUGACGGUACCUAACCAGAAAGCCACGGCUAACUACGUGCCAGCAGCCGCGGUAAAUACGUAGGUGGCUAGCGUUAUCCGGAAUUAGUGGGCGGAAAGCGCGCGCAGGUGGUUUCUUUAAGUCUGAUGUGAAAAGCCCACGGCUCAACCCGUGGAGGGUCAUUGGAAAACUGGGGAGACUUGAGUGCAAAAGAAGAAAGUGGAAUUUCCCGUG
rnacentral:rRNA from 1 species